rnacentral:rRNA from 1 species
UACGGGGGGGGCUAGCGUUGUUCGGAAUUACUGGGCGUAAAGGGCGCGUAGGCGGUCUAUUAAGUUGGAUGUGAAAACUCUGGGCUUAACCCAGAGCCUGCAUUCAAAACUGAUAGGCUGGAGUUCUGGAGGGGAUAGCGGAAUUCCUGGUGUAGCGGUGAAAUGCGCAGAUAUCAGGAGGAACACCGGUGGCGAAGGCGGGUCUCUGGGCAGUAACUGACGCUGAGGAGCGAAAGCGUGGGGAGCGAACAGG